rnacentral:rRNA from 1 species
AGCGAACGCUGGCGGCAAGCUUAACACAUGCAAGUCGAACGCUGUAGCAAUACAGAGUGGCGGACGGGUGUAUAACACGUGGGAACCUGCCUUUAGGUACGGAAUAACUCAGGGAAACUUGGGCUAAUACCGUAUAAUAUCUCCGGAUCAAAGAUUUAUCGCCUAAAGAUGGGCCCGCGGUGGAUUAGCUAGUUGGUGAGGUAAUGGCUCACCAAGGCUACGAUCCAUAGCUGGUUUGAGAGGAUGACCAGCCACACUGGGACUGAGACACGGCCCAGACUCCUACGGGAGGCAGCAGUGGGGAAUAUUGGGCAAUGGGCGAAAGCCUGACCCAGCUAUGCCGCGUGAGUGAUGAAGGCCUCGGUUGUAAGCUCUUUAGUGGGUACGAUGAUGACGGUACCACCACGAAAAGACCCGGCUACGCUUCGUG